AUCCACAGAUUCAGACAGAACCACGGGCUGUUUGUCAGUACUGAAGUACGCAGGUCCGUACUUCGUAAUGUCACACGGGAGUCAAGACUUCCAGAGAACACAGUGCGAUUGUUCUACAAUAUUUGCAAUACAAAAUGACAGAUGACAUAAAACAAUUCCACGUGAUGUAGUAGAUUUCUUUAAGAAAAAAAAGAUACUUUUUUAAAGUCCUUUGGCAAAAUUCACUUUUGCGUAUCAUCUGUUUCAUAAUGUCUAAUAAGCCUCAUACAGUUAAACUCAAUCACUACAUGACAGAAUCACAAGCUUCUCUUAAUAAACAUAGUACACAUGUAUGCCUGAAUAAAAACAAACAGGUGAGAUGUUAGAACGCUUUUAUUUUAGUAAACACUCAAACUUACAACAGACAGCUGCUGGGGUUUGGAAGAGAACUGAACAAAUGUUUAAAAUAUAAUCUGAUCAUUGUUGGAGCCGCCUUCAGGAUCUCCACGUAUUAACAUCUGUUUUUGUUCCCGGGCAAAAUGUUUCCCAGAUAUUUGAAGGUUACACAGCUACAUUCUCGCCUGAAAAUAUCUUAAAGGGUUUUUUUGUGUCACAGAAACAGUCAUGUUUCAAACCUUUUAGCCGCUCUACUCCGCCAUUGCUGCGUUUGAGUUUUGGACGAAAUGCAUUCUGGGAAAUUUGGCUGCACUAAGUCCACACUUUCAUACAUUACGGGGUUUUUCCUGUGAGCCGGAGCCAAAGUAGCACGGCUGUCACUGAGGUUAAAAAUUUUAUCCCAGGUUCUGGUAUUUUGUGUUUGUGAUAUACAGACACUGCAGACACAGCUGGAGGACCGAGCUUUGGGCUGUUUGGUUGAAUGUGAUCCUCGGAGUAGAGAUUAGAGCAAAGUGAGCUGCAGCUGCUCUGUGUACUGUGCAGUCGUCCUGUUUUUGGUUCAGAUGCUGUAACCACCUAUGAUCACCAAACACGUCUAAAUCCCAGUUUGACAGUGACCAAGAUAAUCCAACAAUUUACCAGUCAAAGCAGCCGUAUGUACGUGGAAAUUACGCUGGUUACCCAGCGUUCUCUCCCCAGAAGAUGCCAGAGGAGGAGCGGGGAGGUGUGCCAGUGCGGGUCAGAACUCACCUGAAACCUCUGAUCGUCGCCCUUGGGGUGAUGGUUUUCGACACUUGGAAACUGUUGGGGUAUCUGUGGAAUUCAGGCCAAUUGCUUCACCGGCCAUCAUGGAGCAUCCCACACAUGGUGGGGGAUGUGGGACUGUGGAGGUGGUCCCGCUGGAACGGGACGCGGCCUCAGCGUGCAACGAUCCAAAUGGCUCUGUUGAAUACUAGAUCACUAGCUAACAAAACUUUCCUUCUCAGGGACUUUUUUUUCCGUCCCGGACUUGGACUUUCUGUGUUUAACUGCGACGUGGCUUCAUGCUGGUCUCGGCAGAUCUUUCAAGCUGCGGCAGGUUGGAGUUGGGUCUGCUGUUGUCUGGAUGUGACACGGGUAUAUCAGACUGUUUCCUGUUUUCAGCCCCAGCUCUGCAAUAAAGCUAGCGUCCUCUGUGAGACGUGUGCACAUAGUCCUUCAAGUGUUGCAGAUUUUCUCACUGCUUUUAAAAACUAUGACUUUUGGACUUCCACGCAAGCUUGACUACCGAGGACCGUAUUUCCCUGCACUGCUGUAUUGGCUGUAUUUUUUGCCCCUUUUAUAACCAAAUGGACUAAACCGUCCUGUCAGGCCUUGUUGGUGAGUCGACCAGCGCUCUAAGACGUGCUGAGAGAAAGUGGAAAAGGACAAGCUCCAGGUCUUGUUAGAAAUCUCUGUGACUGUUUGUCAGCAGUCUGUUUACUUCUCAGAUAUUGUUUCUAAUAACAGUCACAGGCCUCAGUUUCUUUUUAACGUUUCUAAUUCAGUGGCUAAUCCCUGCUGUGAUGCUGGUCGGGCUGUGGUCUGUCCUGGACUGUUGUCACCUCAGGCAGAAGCAGGCCCAUCUGUACCUCAUCCCAACAAAGCUAUCUUUGAGACCUCGCCUUUUUAAAGUGACCUUUGACUGGGACCAACUAUUCUAGCUCUGAUAAACAGUUCUUUUGCACUUGGUUGUGUUGCAGCUGCCUAUAAACACGCUGUUGUGCAGUGUCUUAUGAAAAGAAGCUGUUCUUUCUAAUUACAGACCUAUAUCUAAAUGACCAUCUCUGUCACAGACACAGUUGUUUCUAAGUUUAUAUAAUGUGUGGUAGAGUUUGAGUCAGGUUCUAGAUCACAUAGACUGCUCUUUGCUUCUUAAUGAUCUGCUUUCAGACGUUGACUCUGGCAGUUUUCGUGCUUCUAGACUCGUCUGCUGCCUUUGACGUCCUUCUGCCUCGUCUAGAACACCAAGCUCCAAUCAAAGCCACUUCUGACGAGGUUCAUGCCUCACCAGCAGAGGUUUCUCUGUACUUGUGGGAGACUGUUCUUCUACAACAGCACCUCUCACUUUUGGAGUACCUCAGGGUCCAUUCUGGGCCCACUUCUUCUUUCACUGUGUAUAUUACCUCUUUGCUGAUGUGUGUGUG